AAAUAAGAAGCAAAAAUUUGCAUUUAAUUUCGACUUAAAUCUUUGAGUUAAUUAAUUACUCCUUAUUUA
rnacentral:tRNA from 1 species